GACGGAGCACUGAUAACCAACACACAGUGCUGAGGCUUGCAAAGAGCUGCUCUGCUGAAAGCUAGUAAAAAUCCUCAAAAGACAUCGAACCUGGAAGGGAGACAUGUAACGCACGCCACUGAUGAAUAAUGCGAUUACAGCGGCACACAAAACAUCCCUCCCAGAAAAAAAAAAACAACAAAAAACGAUCUUAUCGAGCAGUUUGUGCACAUAGUUGUGCAGAGAAGAAUGGCCCAUUUACUAGAACAUAUACUGGGCAGAGGUUAUCUCCUCAGUAUACCGAACCAACCCCUAUACAAAUUCCAUAUCAUUACAGCACAAAAGAAACCAUCCAUGCAAGGUGGGAACAUUUGAUGACGACAAGGUUCUUUAAUGGUCUCACUUGAGUAAGGUAAUAAUUUACUUUUCCUGCCAGAGAGAAAUGUAAUUCAGCAGGUGACCUGCUAGCUAAAGGGGUUUUAUUGAUCCUUUGGAAUUUACAGUGCAUUAAUAAUGUUAAGACUUUCAGUAUGCAUCACAUGCCCAAAGCCUCUGAAAACAAAUGGCCUUGAUGAUGCUUUUUAAACAUCACAUUAUGUUGUGCGAAGGGGCUUGUUAACCUAACGUUAACAAAACCCUUUGAUUGUGUGAUUAAAUGUGCAUUUUCAUGGGUCAUAAAGAAACUCUUACCUGACCCUGAAUCUUCA
ensembl:lncRNA